GCGAUACUUGGUGUGAAUUGCAGAAUUCAGUGAAUCAUCGAAUCUUUGAACGCACCUUGCGCUCCUUGGUAUUCCGAGGAGCAUGCCUGUUUGAGUGUCGUGGAACUAUCAACUCUAGUUGCUUGUGUAAUCAGAGUUGGAUGUGGAGGUUGUUUGCCGGGCCCACUUUGGUGUUCAGCUCCUCUUAAAUUUAUUAGCUUGAGCUCUUUGAGUGGAUUGGCUUUGGUGUGAUAAUUGUCUGCACCAUGCUGUGAAGCUAGGCUUUGGCUUUGAAUGUGUCCUCCCCCCUCUGGGGUGUGAGACAAUUAACCCUUGGACCUCAAAUCAGGUAGGAUUACCCGCUGAACUUAAGCAUAUCAAUAAGCGGAGGAA
rnacentral:rRNA from 1 species